GCGCCAUUAGCUCAAUUGGAUAGAGCGUUGGUCUACGGAACCAAAGGUUAGGGGUUCGAGUCCCUUAUGGCGCGCCA
rnacentral:tRNA from 1 species